GGCUUACACAUGCAAGUCGAGCGGACCUUUCGGGGUCAGCGGCGGACGGGUGAGUAACGCGUGGGAACGUGCCUUCCGGUUCGGAAUAACCCUGGGAAACUAGGGCUAAUACCGGAUACGCCCUUAUGGGGAAAGGUUUACUGCCGGAAGAUCGGCCCGCGUCUGAUUAGCUAGUUGGUGGGGUAACGGCCUACCAAGGCGACGAUCAGUAGCUGGUCUGAGAGGAUGAUCAGCCACACUGGGACUGAGACACGGCCCAGACUCCUACGGGAGGCAGCAGUGGGGAAUAUUGGACAAUGGGCGCAAGCCUGAUCCAGCCAUGCCGCGUGAGUGAUGAAGGCCUUAGGGUUGUAAAGCUCUUUUAUCCGGGACGAUAAUGACGGUACCGGAGGAAUUNGCCCCGGCUAACUUCGUGCCAGCAGCCCGCGGUAAU
rnacentral:rRNA from 1 species